AACCCAUAUUUUUAAGUUAUUGAAUAUUGUAAGUUGGAAAAUAAUUAGCUUCUAAUCAGUUUGUUUUGUGCUAAUUUAUAGUAUUUAAAUUGGGUACUGAUAUAUGAAUUCUGCAAAUAUUAGAGGAGUAUACGUUUUGUGCAUAAGAACUAGCUUGUAGUAAUUAAUUAGUUAGCCUGGAAUCAUUGAGUAGUACACGCAUGUAGUGAUGCAAUGUAAGAUGGAGCUGAACCAUGUCGGCAAGGUCUGGUCGGCCAAGUCUUGCGUGGACCUGUGCAUGGCCAGGGAAAGAUGAGUCAGCUCGUACGUGUCAGGUAGAGAUAGGAGAAGAAGUAGUAGUAUCCCAGGCAGCUCAGAUAUUUUAACACCGCUUGACCGCCCUUGCAACCUAUAAAUAGAAGCUCUCGCGCGCUACUGCUCAAAGCAUAGUAUCGUUUGGCUGCAUAGAGUGCCCGAGCAUAGAGAGAGUGAGAGAACGGUUGAGACCUGAGCAUGCAUCCAUGUUUAGGAGUUAAGAGGAGAUAGAAAUACAUAGCGUAGGCUGUGCUGUUAGAUCGUACAGAGAGACGAAGCCGUAGAUACGAAGAAUAAUAUCUACCAUCCGUCUAUAUAGCUGCGGAUUUAUUAUCGGUGGAGGAAGUAUUAUUUCAAGAUAGAUGAUAUAUGAUUCAGGCAAGCUGCUUUAUACCCUCUUAUAUAUUUUGUAAAGUAGGUUUUGCUGCUAAAAUACCUGAUUUAGUAUUUGAUAUGAGAUAUGAGAUAUUUGUGGGCUAAUCCGCCGGUGUCGUUACGCGGUGAUGGAUCCGCUGGAGCCACCGGUACGAAUCGGGCAUUAGCGCGAAUAUCGAUAGAAAGUGAUCAACAUGAGAGAUACAUGUUUUGAUAAGAGCAAACUUGGUGCUACGAAGGUAAACAUAUUGUACCGGUCACAGUUCAGGUAUGGGACUGUCUGUGUUCUCCGCUGGGGAUGGCCUCUGUUCGGGAACGUGUCGGUGAUGGAUCCGUAGGAGCGACCGGCAUCAGUAGGUCAGAGUGUCCGGGUCUUAGCGGGUAUAAGAACACUGCUUGACUAGCGCAACCUAGUCAAGACUGUCGAUGUCGGAGUACCCCUCUGCAGAGUGUAAAAGUGUGAAUUUCACCCCUGUGAUUCCCGGGUAGGGAAACUUACUUUCAUGUGUGGCACCAUGUGUUUUAAAUUGCCUAAUACCUUAACCACAUGUUGUUGUUUUUUUCGAAAAGCAUUUCUAUUUUACAAUUUAUAUGAUUGUGUAUAAUCGGUUUGCUGAGUAUGACUUGUCGUACUCAUCCCAGCUCCCCAAUAUUUUUAUCAGAGUUGCGCAGCAGAAGACCUCGUCGGCGGAGGUUUAGGCUGGACCAGCGGGUGGGAAGCGAUUAGAGAAUCUAGUUGUCUUUCUAGUGCAUUUGUAAAGAAACUUGUAAAAUAUUGAAUAGAUGAGUUUCUCGAGAUCCA